GAGACAGCAGUAGCCGCGGGAAUACGAAGGGUGCAAGCGUUACUCGGAAUUACUGGGCGUAAAGCGUGCGUAGGUGGUGGUUUAAGUCCGUUGUGAAAGCCCUGGGCUCAACCUGGGAAUUGCAGUGGAUACUGGAUCACUAGAGUGUGGUAGAGGAUAGUGGAAUUUCCGGUGUAGCAGUGAAAUGCGUAGAGAUCGGAAGGAACAUCUGUGGCGAAGGCGACUAUCUGGGCCAACACUGACACUGAGGCACGAAAGCGUGGGGAGCAAACAGGAUUAGAUACCCGGGUAGUCCCUGUCUCUUAUAC
rnacentral:rRNA from 1 species